GACGUUGUUUCGACCGUUGGAGGAGAACGGAGAAACAGGUUAGGAAUAAUUUUAAAAGCGGGUGCAAUUUUCCGAGGUUUUAAGCGAUAAAUAAUCGAGAAUCUCGGCGUAUCGCCGCAUCCUGCGUUCGCACUCGGUAAAUCCGGGGUACAACAACCCCUUUCACGAUCCAAUUUCCCCGGGUUUGCUUCCCGCUUUCUUGUUUUUCCGGCCGCCGCUCGAAUUUCCAGCCAAAAAUCCGGCGAGGAAACACGCUCGCGGCCCGACUCGGGCAGGAAAUCGUGUGGGGGGAGGACGAUAUCGGGAUUUAUCAGAGCCCGGUGGAAGAACGUGGAAGAAACGUGACCGCGCUGGUGCUCCAUUAGGAUUGGAGGAAAAUUGUGGGAUCGAUCGGGGAUAAAAGGCGAUAAAAGCUCGCGUUUCCAAAGUUGCGAGAAUAUAAAUAGCGAAGAAUCGAGAUAACUUCGAAUCCGAGAAAGAAGAAGAGAAUAUAAAACGAAGAAGGUUUAAAGAGAGGCAAAUAAACGCGGUGCACGAAACUUGGCCAUUUUUCCAACUUGGGGCUUUUGUCGUUAAAAUCGUACCCUACGUAACAAGGUAAUCGAGAAAAGGGAACUCAUUUUUUUCCUUUCUUUGCGUAGAAAAAUUUCGCACAAUGCAAGAAGAAACAAACGUUGAUGAAAGAUGAAAAUUCACGAUCUGCAAAAGUGCGGCGGUAACGAGCUAUCGUUUAAAAGAAAUUACGAAGGAAGCCGAGCGUGUCGGGAAAAGAUGGUAGAAAACACAAAAGGAAGCAGAAGUUUGCGCAUCCAGGGACGAUAAUAAUAUAGGAUAUAGGAAUAUUACAAGGUAAUUCGCAAUCCCGCCAGCACAAUUACCUACUAACGAUUGCUAAUUUUCCUUGAACCAAUUAGAAUUCCCCUUCCUCGUUUUACCAGCUAAUGUAACUCAACUGCUCGUCCGCGGGCGGAAGACCAAGUAGAUCAAAGUAAUUUCGGAUGGGUUUCGCGACUUCGUGGUUGAGACGGUUGUUCGAACUCCGAAGAUUGGCCUCGGUAUAAUCGGGAAACGUCGAUCAGAGUGGCGUGCGAAUUAAAAGUUGGAUGGGACGGCGACGGCAGUUCCCCUUUCGAACGAUCUCUACUACUAGAAUAUCGAAUCCCCCCCGUUCCACGGAUACGGUGGAAGUCGUAAAAGGAAGAGGACACGGGAAUAUUUGGCGUGUCGUCGCAAGAUUUUACACAAGUGACGACUCACUCGGAUGGAUCCUUUGUUGACGAAACUGCGGUAAUGAAAGAGAGUCGAAUCCAACGGAAAUACAACGUUUUUUCGUUGCACAACACACGCGCGGUACACGCACGAGAAGCAAGAAAAACUCGAUGACGAAGAUGGAUGCGUUUCGAACUAAACUGUACAAGUACCGUUGCCCAAUAGAAGUUGGCCGAUCGAUUUUCGAUUAUCCUCGCCACGUACACGUGGAACAAGAGACAGGAAAUUUUAAAACAGAGCCACUGCGUUAAAGCGGUAUUUGCUCCAUUCAGAUUGAUAAAACGGUUCGGAGAUGAGUGACUUCCGGUCAACGAGUGAACGAUCGUUGGAAGCGCGGAACUUUGCCCUUUAAAACGUUUCUUGAUUUAUCUCGAUACGACUUCCUGUUCCCGAGAUAUCAUCGUGUGAAGAAAACGGAUCGCUCGACUUCCUGCGACCAGUCUACAAUUUCACCAAGCGUCGCGAAAUCCACGCACGUGGGUCGGACACUGCAUUCUCGAGCACUGUGGGGAUCGAUAAAUUUUCCAGUGGCGCUGCCGAGUCAAAGUCUACUCGUGUUUGUAAACGUUGCAACGUUGUUACAAAGAGAAAAUUCCAGAGAUGUAGAAAAUUUCCUCUCCCCUCCACGCGUUGACAUUCUUCGUAGUUAACAUUUUCCUUUCCUCCACUCGCCUUUUCCCUCCUAAAGGAGAAGCACGCCAAGAGGAUCGAUUUUCGAGAGAAUCGAGUAUGAAUCCGUGAUCGUGGAAAAAAAGAAAAGGGGAGAGCAUACACAAAAGAGGGGGCGAUAAGCGAAAUGCUCGUCUCGAAUUUUGCAGCGUUGCAAACCUACGUUCAAUGGGACGAGAAACCGCAUAAGAGAGGGGGGUUCAACGUUGAUGUUUAAUGGAAGGAACGUCACGGGGCGGAGGAAUGCCCUUCGAAAAUAGUAACAGCCGAGCGGGGAACAAAUAGCGAUCUCGAAUGGAACGGACACCUUACAAAGGACUUGCGAUUUAGUCGAAAGCGCGCGGUGACAAAUUUUGCGAAAAGGUUAUUCUUCCCUUUUCGUGCGGCACUGGUUGAAAGCUGAGCGCAGCAUUUCGCUUUAUCGAAUUAAGUUCCGAUACUAAUACGAAUUUUCACUACAAAAUAAAAUAUUAGACCGCGUUGUAAAUAACUUCGAAUGUUCGUGACCGUGCAAUUUUACAAUUAGAUGGAAUCCUUGUUGUUUGUGCCAAAAGUGCCAAGAUCCGUGUCUUUUGAUCCGAUAUCGCUCUUCUCGUGUUUUUAAAAUAUUUCUAUAAGAAAAAAAUAUUAUUAAACUCCGUUUGGAAGAGAAAGAGCGGAAUAAAUUACGGAUUAAAAAUGAGCACAACAUUCUCCUGUUGAAGGAUAGGCUUUUAAAAAAACGACUCUGUCAGUUACGAGAAUAUACGAGUAAUGAAAUAUA